CUCAGCUUCAGUGUUUCACACCGAUGUCACGAUGUUGGACACGAGGCAGUGAAAUCCGACAUAAACAUGUCGGCUUUGAGGGAAGAUUUAAUAAACGGAAGCAGCAAAAUGUGACGUGUAAACUGAUCUACUCUGGUUCCUUUCCUGUGUCUCAAACAGCAAGUCAUGUGACCCACCGCCAUGCUGCAGUUUAUUCCCUCACUGAGACAAUUGAGAGCUGUUACACUCCAGCAAGAUCACUCAAACGCUGCUCAGUGGGAGUGGUGGCGCAAACAAAGACCCCAUGAAGGUUUGGCCUGGUUGGAGGAGGACGGGCUCUCUCUGAGAACACUUCCUGUCAGUGGACUUGGACGGCCACAGCCACAAAUUACAGGUGGAUGGUGACACAGGUGGCCGUAGCUGCUAGCCAGGCUUCACCUGACCCUAAACUGGACCUCUGGACCAUGUUUGUGCUGUUGGGGCAUUUGUAAUGACACUGGCGCCACCAGGCCCUCUGACCACCACCAGUAGGCAACGGGUGAAGUGUCUUGCCCAAGGACACAACGACCGAGACUGUCCAAGCCGGGGCUCGAACCGGCAACCUUCCGAUUACAAGGCGAACUCCCAACUCUUGAGCCACGAUCGCCCCACGAUCAUAGAAAUGAUCAAUUCUGUCUCAAAAAGGGCAAAAUGUUUCAGGUACGAUGGAGCUGUCGGGACUUUAGAGUCAGGACAUCGGGAGCCGGAGAGACAGCGAGAGAAAGACUGCUGACCUGCCGCAGUCGCUGCAGAGACCCGUGAGGAAGAUGGAGAGGAUGAGGAGGAGGAUGAAGAAGCUAACCACUCCUGAUGGCAGGAGCCACAGCUCGAUGGCGUCUGGUCCGGUUGCCAUGAUCCCUGAGAGGAGAGAAAACGCAGAUGAGGGGAACUUCCUGUUGUCUCCAAUGCCUGUCUCCAGAGCUGCGACUCAAUUGUUUGGAGAUGGAGUUCCACGUAUGAAGGAGACGACUGCCUUUCUGUUUAUUUUCUUUUUGUUUUUGCAAAGAAAGCGAGCCUAUAGCAUCCACAAAAGCGAGCCGCAGUCCCAGCAGGUCACCUGAUCUCAAGGUCAGCCCACAUCACCUGAUGGCUCAGGCAACACCCUUGUCCACAUCCUGAUGGGCAGCUGCGACUGAUAAGCUCCAUAAAGCCGAGAUCAAACUGAAACUGGAGCACCAAGAGCAGCUCCACCCGAACUGUGCAACUGACACUUUCUGCUUGACUGGCAGAGUGAGGCCCUUUGAGGACUGUGAGAGGCAGAUAACAGCAGCCUUGCUGUUAAAGGACACAUAAAGUGAAUUCACAUUAUUUUUUCUCUAUCGCAGUCUGCAUUCAGCUUCCUGUCUGGAUGUUGUCAUACGUGCAUUGUGGUGUUAAAGUCCAUAGAAACCCUGUAGUUACUGUAAAAUGUCAGCUAAAAUUUCAUUUUGAUAGAUAAAGGGAGAAUCAGCUUUAGUAAAAUAUGGGGUGUUGGUAGGUUGGUUUUUAAUAACAGAUAUAUUAAAAACCAACCUACAAGUUGGUUGUAGGUUGUUCAAUGAUUGUUCAUACAAAUCGACAGGCUGUAAAUUUUAGAGGUACUACAGAAACCGUCUGUUAGAUUUGUAUUGUUUAUUGUCAUUUAUGCUUAGAAAUUUUUAACUAUAUAUGCUUAGAGGUGCAUAAUCGAUUGUGUAGUGAUAGGAUGUGUGAUCCUUAAUAGUCUGCAAAGGCUUGGUGUGCAUUCCAGAGUGUUCUGGCAUUCACACCCACAUCCUGGGAGCAUGGGAGAGGUCGUACCUUCUCUUAUUGUUUUAUGGAAGGAUAAACAUGUCUAUAUCUGUUUUAGGCUAAGUGCCUUUUGUUUAGACGAACUGUUGGACUUCCAAACCAGCAGGGUUAGGGAAGUCAUUUAUGGGGUCACACUCUGACCACACACACACUUACACAACGCACAGGUAAGGUACUCUUUGUGUGUAUGUAGACGUCAUAUGUUAAUGAACCUAUGUAUAUUCAUGUAACCUCAAUAAAAGAGCAGUGUUACGGGGGAGCGGAUGAGAGCACCUGGGGUCAAGCGAAGGAACGGCGUUUGUCCAGUUCUCUCCCGUGCAUGAGAACCAUAAAGAACUUUGCCUACUCGUGUCUUGCUUUGCUGUGUAAUUAAAUUGUCCUUAACGUUCCAGCAAAUAGGUUUAUGCUACAAACCUAUCACCGUCCUUUACGCCGACACAAACUGCACGGGUAUGCAGGAAAAAAAAAUCUGCCUGCUAAACUGAAAGUUCUCCAGACCAUCAACCACUAAAAACAUGUGGCUCAAGUCCUAAAACAAGCAAGAAUGAGAAUCCUUUGGCAAAAACUACAACAAAACUACAGAAAUGUAAACCCUUG
ensembl:lncRNA